UUGUUCUCCUUCUGUUUAUUUGUCCCAAUGGUUUAAAAAAAUCAGCUUUAUGGAACCAUAAUCUUCCUCAUGACAGAUGGGCCUGUACAUAAGCAUUGCGCUUUCAGUCAACAGUUUACAUUUCAAGAGGAAGGUGAAGAAAGUGUAAUGAUAUCUUCAGUGUCUGUCAUUUUUAGUUUUAUAACAUUGAUACAAAAAAAUAGUAUUCUGAUUAGCAGCUUGAUUGGCAACCCAUGUAACCCUAAAUAGUACUACAAACCUGGAGAGUGCACUUUUACAGACAAUUACUUUUGGCGAAACAGUAUGUACAAUUUUGACAAAUAAAUACAUAAAUACAAUCAUUCAUAUAUGACGUUAUACCUAAAUGUCAAUUAUCAUCAACAAGCGUUGUUCUAGUAAAUUACUUCUUUCAUUCACAAGUUACUUUGUUGUUUAUAAAAACGAUUUUCACCUUUACAGAAGAAAUGACAUAAUCAAUUCUCCCACUAAACCCACAUAUUAGGAAAGGUAAAAAAUGAAUCCCAGAUGCUUUAGGUAAAUAUUCCAUUGUCUUUUGAUAGAAGAGAUUUGAUCGAAAAACUUCUUCCUUGGCUCCUCUGUAAAUAGUUUAUUUUCCCCAUAUCGUGUCACGCAAAGGGGUUUUAUUCUUCUGAAUUGAAUCCAAAUUAAAAGUGAUCUUCGCUUUGUUGAUUCUGGUUAUUUAAAAAUACAAUAUUACAUAUUGAAAUGGACACUUGUUCCAAUAUAAGAAGACACCAAGCCACCGAAACUAGCCACCAAAGAGAAACGUUUUUCCAAAAAGUAAAUUAAAAAAAGGAACUUUAAGAACAUAGACACUGAUACUGUUAUUAUCCAGUGCAUAAUGGAAAAAAAGAGUUUUUGUAAAAAUUGUCUGAGAGACUCUUGGUAGAAUACUGUCUAAAACAUUGCAUAUUUUAUGUCAGGGAAAUGAUAAGAAUGGCUCAACAGUAAUUGAAACAAUAUUUUGGCCAGUGUCAUGUCAUAAAAUUAACAAAAGUCGAAAGUUAGAGCUUUUUCUUGAUCACUUAAACAUUUUUUGAACAUUCAAAAAACGAAGGGCAAACAUGCUUAAGGCUAUGAAACACUGGACAAAUGGCCUUGCUUCACCAAAAGCUCCAUGCAGAAGAAAAGGUUACACAGCAAGCAGAUUCUAGCUAUACAUACAGUUGGGGAGAAGAAAAAAUGCCUUUAAAAUAUAUACAUGUGGUCUUUGAUGAAUAUUUACAUGUUUGUCACAUGGGCAUUACCUAGCAUAAAAAAGUAAGGAAAUAGUUCUUUAAGACAUACGAUUCUCUGAUUUUUGCUCCUUUUAAAGAUCAGGGCUGUAUCAUAAUGUAUGCACACACAUAUAAAACGAUUCAUAGGUGUACAUAUAUGAUGUUUAUAAUGUGUAAUUUCUUGACACCAGAGGUGGUUUGACUGAGCAUGGGGUAGAUGCAAGGCAAUAGUAUGAGACAGAGGCUUGAUUCAGCUGCACAACUCGAAGGUAAACCAAGUAAGAAGUCGUGAGACUUUCCCAGUGAUUGGAACUCACAGCAGUUGAGGGAUGGGAAGUCUUGUCUCAUAUCAGGUCCUUUCGGGUGGGGGAUGAGAGAUCGUGUUUUGCAGAAACAAGCCAUGACUUCCACUUAUUCAUUGUGUCUAUCUGUUUGCUAUCAACUCCUACGGGGGGCUCCAGGGGUCAGGUUAAAAAAUAAGUAAAUAGGGCCGGGCGCGGUGGCUCACGCUUGUAAUCCCAGCACUUUGGGAGGCCGAGGCGGGCGGAUCACGAGGUC
rnacentral:lncRNA from 10 species